rnacentral:rRNA from 1 species
AGCAGCCGCGGUAAUUCCAGCUCCAAUAGCGUAUAUUAAAGUUGUUGCAGUUAAAAAGCUCGUAGUUGAAUUUCGGGGUUAGCAAGUUGGUCGUGCCUUCGGUAUGCACUGGCUUUGCUGAUUCCUCCUUCUUGAAGAACUGUGAUGCUAUUAAUUUGGUGUUGCAGGGAAACAGGACUGUUACUUUGAAAAAUUAGAGUGUUUAAAGCAGGCUAACGCUUGAAUACAUUAGCAUGGAAUAAUGAAAUAGGACGUUUGAUCCUAUUUUGUUGGUUUCUAGGAUUGACGUAAUGAUUAAUAGGGAUAGUUGGGGGCAUUAGUAUUCAAUUGUCAGAGGUGAAAUUCUUGGAUUUAUUGAAGACUAACUACUGCGAAAGCAUUUGCCAAGGAUGUUUUCAUUAAUCAAGAACGAAAGUUAAGGAUCGAAGACGAUCAGAUACCGUCGUAGUCUUAACCAUAAACUAUGCCGACUAGGGAUCGGAUGAUGUAAUUUUUAAUGACUCAUUC